rnacentral:sRNA from 1 species
AUGUACCACUCGUACACUCCGGUUCCUGCGCGCCGUCCGCACCCACCUGACGACUGCUCGCUACGUUUGUUAGCU